UGGGCCUUUCUUCCAUAUUUCCUGAUAACCCCCUACAGAAAUAGACAAAAACCAAAACUCGUGGAAUUCUAUCAGAUAAAACCCUAAGUCUGGGUGUUGGUUGCAUUUGGAUCCUUUUCUUUAUUUAUUUGAUGAUUAUAUUUGGUACUUAUGGACCGUCAACAAACUCCCCCAAGAUUACCUCUUGCUCGUCCCUGAGCAAGGAUAGACUCAAAAGUUUCUGCAGAGGUUUCAUGCCUUAAAAGUACACAUGCGUUCAAGCAAGAUCUCAUCUCUGAGUUUAGAGUAAACUGUAAAGACUUAAAACUUACUCAAUUUAGUUUUCACCAUGGGGCUUGCAACCGUCACUUGUGUCUUGAGCAGUUAAAAGAUAGAACAGUCAAGUCAAGAGCCAUGUCUCAUAUUCUUGAUCAGCUAUAGCUCUGGAGUUUUUUUAGAUUUUCAAAUAAAACUCAGAGAUUCCUUGUAUUACUCUCCCAAAUCUAUCUUUUGUGGUAUUUCUGGAUCCUUUCCAAGGCAGUAAUGGUGUAUGCAUUCUCUCAAAGUACGUGGUAUUUGUGGUAUGAGACAUAGUGAUAUCGCCUUCUCUCUCACCCUACACUAAUAAGGUUUUGAUAUUUGGAGCUCAUAGGUGGGAGACAGAUAAUACAUACUUAUAAGAUAUUUAUUGCAUAGUCAAACCAUGGAUCCAGAGAAACAAGUCAAUAAGUCAAAUCAAGAUGUGCAUGUGUGGUGAAUGAAUGGUGUAUGGUGAUGAUGGUGAUAAUAAUGGUGAAAGUCUAAUUCUACUUUUGCUCUUUUUAGGGGAUACAUACCUUUCUUGCACUUUGAAGCUUUUUGAGGAGAAUGAGAGGCUCUAUAUUUUCUUUUUCUUUCCUCUCAGGUGGGUAUCUUGUACCCCUAAUUCACUGUCGGACACUUGUCCAUUUUUACCUCUCUUCUCACUUUUUCUUUUCUUCGAGGUUCCGGGCACUUGCCCCUUUAUAUUUCCUCGUAUCCUUUCUCUCUUUUUUUUUCUUCUUUUUUUUAGAGCACUCAUCUCCUGAAAUAAUAUAGCAAGUGGUAGUAACCAAGAUAACUCGAGCAUUUAUUUCACAGGGAAAACAGAAAUAGGAGAAUGUUUUGGCUAUUCUCUCUCGGAUUAGGAGUAGAAUACUUUUGGGUGGCUCUGGAGAUGGAAGUGAGUGGAUAUAUGUGGAUGCGUACUUCCGGAGUAGAAGCAACAUGUGUGAGUGAAUGUGCAAGUGAAUCUUGAUUUUAACCGCAUGACAAGCUCCUAAGGAUCUACACAGCUUGACCACACUCAAUGCUCAUAAGCAGUGAAAAGUAAAUGUGUGGCUCAAAGUCUAGCAAGCAUGUAUAUAUGGCUGUGGUAGGAAUUUAAACUCUCAUCAUAUAAGAACUCAUCAUGUGUUAUUUUAAAGAUUUUCAAAGGUAAAAUUCCCCAGAAUUCUAGCAUCUCUAGGAACAGAUAAACAACAGCUCAACCUUCCCAUAUCAUAUCCGUUAACAACUUACACUUUAGAUCAAGUACUCUUCCCACAAGUUCAGGUUUAGAGCAGGUUUAAAUUAUAACAGUUAUGCCUAAACUUGAGAGAGAUUUCAAUUUUAAGAACUAGUCAUGGCAGAGCAACUAUUCAUCAUUUCCAUGUGAGAGCUUAUCAUAAGGGUUCAUAGCAAACUUUAUUUAUUUAGCAAACUAAGCAAAGAUAUAUAUAAGCACAAAAUUUUUAUUUGGGUUUUCAUGAUUUUACAUCUUUUUAUUAUUUGAGUAAAGUAUAAACGCGAGUAGAAACACUUAGCUAGAUAAAUGGGCCGGGGGUGCUCUCCCCAAAGCUGGAUUUUGACGUAAUUUCUUCUGAUAUAGCUAGCAGGUGGCGGAGGUGUAUUUAAAUAUCGGCAGCACCCUAACAGCAAUUAGGAUGUCCUCCGUUUUCUAGCCUUCUUUGAUCCUUGAAUUCUGUGGAGCUCAAAUAGACAACAAAGCUUUGUGGAACUGGUUAAGUGUUAGCAUAAAUAUCUAGCCUUUGUCAUGUUGAGCCUCCUCAAUAAAUGUUAUUUAUUUAGCAAGAUCAUGCACUUAUUAUUUUUAUAUUUUUAUUGUAAGAUGAAAACAUAUUUAUUUUAUGCCACCACAGUGAAUGUACCUAUGGGUUUUAUGCCAUGAGUAUACUCACAUGGGGCUUACUAUUUUUAACAUUUUUAUUUUCUUUUCGAGAUGAUACGAACCUGAUUAACUAAGCAAACUAUUUUAAAUAGUUGAAAGGAAAAAGGAUAACUACCAUGUUUACCUCUUGGCAAGGCGUUCGGUGUUUUUAAGUCCUCCGAACGGGACUCUUCGUUUUCUCAGUCGUCUUGGGAUUCGCUGGAUGGCGUAGUCGGUGGUUCCGGCGGCGCCUCCUCUUCGUGUAUAAUUAUCUUCUCUCUCCACACCUGACUCGGUGCUACGGUCUCCUCAGGACAGUUCUGUGCAAGCUGUAUGUCUUCAGACUUUACCACUUCUCCUUCGUAGUCUACCCAUCCAUCCUUGAUGAUUUGCCUCCUCUGGUUUCAGUUGCGUUGCCUAGAGGGAAGUGCAUGUGGACUUCUCCGGUUCUAAUAUAGAUGAUGGCUUUGAUAGUGUUGAGGAACAGUCUUCCAAGGAUGGUGGGUGGAUCAUACUCAUCUUCUCCCAUGUCAAUGACCUGAAAAUCAUUUGGAGCUGAAUGUAUAUUGGUUGUAGGGGCAUGGUUCCAUGUAGGAGCUGAUAAGUGACUGCGGCCAUUAUGUUGUCGUCAGAUCCGGUGUCGUAGAGUGUCUUCCGAAAAGAGUAUCUAUUGAUUGUGCACUCGAUGCUUGGAACACCAGGGUCGUCCUUCUUGAUCAGGAAAGGCGACUUGAGUCGACGAUCUUGACCUCCUCCAACAAGGAUCCAAUGUUUUAAGUCUUCUGGACAAGACUUCUCACCGUCUUCAUCCUUUAGGUGCAUCAUUUGAUUGGGUGUGGACCUUGACGUUUGCACCUCUUGAUACGGAGUCACCCAUGUUCUUUGUUUGCGCAGCAAUUCGAAGUGCGGUGUUGGCAAUAUCCUGCUCAGUGUGUUUGUGCUCGUAGAUCCAGGUCCUUCACUUGGUGGAGUCUGGGAGUUGUAAAACUCCUCCAUGUUUUGCUUGAAGUGUACCUGUUCAUAGAGACAAGGCAGAGAUCAAGUGCAUGGGCCCUGUUGGUGGAAAACACCAAUAGAACCAAAGGCGUAUUUGUUCUUCUCUAACCUUAAGCAUGGUGUGCAAGACAAAGUUGAUGGAUAAUAAGAUCAUGAGUGUAGCAUUUAAAACAUUUGUCAAAUCAUAUUGCUCGACCUAAUGGAAAGAUAAUCUAUCUAUAUUUAUAUCUUCCAAAGAUUGAAUGUGCAACAUUUUAGCUUAUAUGAUUAGGAGUGUAGGAUCAUGGAGGUAGUACUAGGAACAAAGAUUAAAGGACUAAACAUGCUGAAUCAGUUGGGUUGGUUAAUUUGGAGUUAUAAAUCAUACAUGUUUGUCUCUUUAUUUAUGUGAACGCCAGAACCAAGGAGAAGCUUGUAAAAGUGAUAGUCAAGUACCUUAAGGUGUUACCUUACUUGAAGAGUGAUGGUAUAGUAUCACCUUGUGGAAGCUUUCCUUUCUUAGCGGUUGUGCAUCGUGUUUGUGGCACCCUCCAUGGAUCAUCUCUCUAUGAUGAAUGAGCUAUGCCUUCCUUGUGCAAAUCGUUAAACUUCAUGUGUCUCCUUUAUCUCCAAUGAGUUUGUAUCUCAGGACUUCCCAGCUUGAUAUUGAAAGUUUUCCUGUAGGGGUUAGUCCAACAAAAUAUCCCAUAUCUACUAUAGCAUAUUAUCGGCUCAAAAAUCAACCUAGACACCAUGUCUAAUUUGAUUUAGGAGGGCAUUUUAACCUAAGAACUAUGCUUAAUUUAAAAAUCCUUUAGAAGUAAGAUCAUCAUUCCUAACCUAAGCACCAUGCUUAAUUAAGAGAUAAAUGAAACUACUCCAAGGGUGGGCGCCCUGCCCCUGGGCCCAAUCGCCUUCUCAUUCGUUCCUGUGGCUUCUGGAGUCUUCUAGAUGAUAGAAAAUUGCACGUCACGUUAAUAUCUCUAUGUAAACCCGACGUGUGGGCCUUUCUUCCAUAUUUCCUGAUAACCCCCUACAGAAAUAGACAAAAACCAAAACUCGUGGAAUUCUAUCAGAUAAAACCCUAAGUCUGGGUGUUGGUUGCAUUUGGAUCCUUUUCUUUAUUUAUUUGAUGAUUAUAUUUGGUACUUAUGGACCAUCAACAAACUCCCCCAAGAUUACCUCUUGCUCGUCCCUGAGCAAGGAUAGACUCAAAAGUUUCUGCAGAGGUUUCAUGCCUUAAAAGUACACAUGCGUUCA
rnacentral:lncRNA from 1 species